rnacentral:rRNA from 1 species
GGAGGGUGCAAGCGUUAUCCGGAUUUACUGGGUUUAAAGGGUGCGUAGGUGGGCAGGUAAGUCAGUGGUGAAAUCUUCAAGCUUAACUUGGAAACUGCCAUUGAUACUAUUUGUCUUGAAUUAUCUGGAGGUAAGCGGAAUAUGUCAUGUAGCGGUGAAAUGCUUAGAUAUGACAUAGAACACCCAUUGCGAAGGCAGCUUACUACGGAUAUAUUGACACUGAGGCACGAAAGCGUGGGGAUCAAACAGGAUUAGAUACCCUGGUAGUCCACGCCCUAAACGAUGGAUACUCGACAUCAGCGAUACACAGUUGGUGUCUGAGCGAAAGCAUUAAGUAUCCCACCUGGGAAGUACGACCGCAAGG